GAAAUGCGAUAAGUAAUGUGAAUUGCAGAAUUCCGUGAAUCAUCGAAUCUUUGAACGCACAUUGCGCCCGCCAGUAUUCUGGCGGGCAUGCCUGUUCGAGCGUCAUUUCAACCCUCAAGCCCCCGGGCUUGGUGUUGGGGAUCGGCCGCCCUCCGGCGCGCCGGCCCCGAAAUCUAGUGGCGGUCUCGCUGUAGCCUCCUCUGCGUAGUAACACACCUCGCACCGGAACGCAGCCUGGCCACGCCGUUAAACCCCCCACUUCUGAAGGUUGACCUCGGAUCAGGUAGGAAUACCCGCUGAACUUAA
rnacentral:misc_RNA from 1 species